rnacentral:rRNA from 1 species
CGUAGGGUGCGAGCGUUAAUCGGAAUUACUGGGCGUAAAGCGUGCGCAGGCGGUUUUGUAAGACAGAUGUGAAAUCCCCGGGCUCAACCUGGGACCUGCAUUUGUGACUGCAAGGCUAGAGUACGGUAGAGGGGGAUGGAAUUCCGCGUGUAGCAGUGAAAUGCGUAGAUAUGCGGAGGAACACCGAUGGCGAAGGCAAUCCCCUGGACCUGUACUGACGCUCAUGCACGAAAGCGUGGGGAGCGAAACAGGAUUAGAUACCCUGGUAGUCCACGCCCUAAACGAUGUCAACUGGUUGUUGGGUCUUUACUGACUCAGUAACGAAGCUAACGCGUGAAGUUGACCGCCUGGGGAGUACGGCCGCAAGGUUG